rnacentral:rRNA from 1 species
CACACUGUAAACGAUGAACACUUGGUGUGGAGGGAGUUGACCCCUUCCGUGCCGUAGCUAACGCGUUAAGUGUUCCGCCUGGGGANGCAACGCGAAGAACCUUACCUGGGCUUGAACUGCUAUGGACCGGUACAGAGAUGUGCCUUUUCGCAAGAACCGUAGCAGAGGUGC